CCCCUGUAUGACGGGAGUCCGGGGAACCGGGCUGAGAGGGCAACUGAGUAGUCCGUUGCCGACCGUAUACCUGAUCUGGAUCAUGCCAGCGGAGGUACAGAGACGGGGAAAGGU
rnacentral:ncRNA from 1 species